GGCGGCAUAGCUCAGUUGGUUAGAGCAGCGGAAUCAUAAUCCGCGUGUCGGGGGUUCGAAUCCCUCUGCCGCUAC
rnacentral:tRNA from 2 species